rnacentral:pre_miRNA from 1 species
AGCUUUUCGAAUCAGUGCUGGGAUUUCGUCAAACAACAACCCAUUAGGACUGAUCAGGCUUUUAAGAUAAGUGAAGUU